rnacentral:rRNA from 1 species
UACGUAGGGUGCAAGCGUUGUCCGGAAUUAUUGGGCGUAAAGAGCUCGUAGGCGGUCUGUCGCGUCUGCUGUGAAAACUCAGGGCUUAACCCUGAGCUUGCAGUGGGUACGGGCAGACUAGAGUGCGGUAGGGGAGACUGGAAUUCCUGGUGUAGCGGUGAAAUGCGCAGAUAUCAGGAGGAACACCGGUGGCGAAGGCGGGUCUCUGGGCCGAAACUGACGCUGGAGGAGCGGAAAGCGUGGGGAGCAAACAGG